AGGACGAACGCUGGCGGCGUGCUUAACACAUGCAAGUCGAGCGGUAAGGCCCUUUCGGGGGUACACGAGCGGCGAACGGGUGAGUAACACGUGAGUAAUCUGCCCUCCACUUGGGGAUAAGCUUCGGAAACGGGGUCUAAUACCUGAUACGACAACUACCUGCAUGGGUUGGUUGUGGUAAAGUUUUUUCGGUGGGGGAUGUGCUCGCGGCCUAUCAGCUUGUUGGUGGGGUAAUGGCCUACCAAGGCUUCGACGGGUAGCCGGCCUGAGAGGGUGACCGGCCACACUGGGACUGAGACACGGCCCAGACUCCGUACGGGAGGCAGCAGUGGGGAAUAUGGACAAGUGGGCGAAGCCUGAUCCAGCAACGCCGCGUGAGGGAUGACGGCUUCGGUAUAACCUCUUUCAGUACCGACGAAGCGCCCGUUGGUGGUGGUGACGGUAGGUACGAGAA
rnacentral:rRNA from 1 species